rnacentral:lncRNA from 1 species
GCACAAUAUAGCCAGGGUGGUUUGAGGGCGUUGAUACCCGGAUGCAGAACUACUAUAUAACUUGCUGGUGAGAUCUGUUCGCUACUUCAGCUCUGGCAAGAGGCAAGAUUCGACGAACGAUCAACAAACCUUGGUUUGAAAGCUUCAAACAUCUGCAGUUACAAUGAGCAAGACUCAGCCUCAAGUCAAUGUUAUCUUGUACAGCGAUCUCAACUGUAAAGACGAAUGUGUAACAGUCCAUGCAUCCCUCCCAAGUCUUGACGACUUUGCUAACAAGGCUCAAUCAGCUAUGGUAAUCUCUGGAAGGUGGGACCUCGUAAGCAGUGACGGAAAGUAUCGCAUAGACGAAGAUACCGGACGGUAUAGUGACCUUGGUUCUUUCAAUCAAAGGACAAUCUCCAUCAGACGAGUAUAAGGCGCUGUUGCAAUGAAGCGGCCCAUUCCAAAGAAGGAUGGAUUGGAUAAGAGCUGACUUAGCAGCCACCUGAUAAUCGCGGCUUAAUGCUUUUUCCUUUUUAUACUCCAGAUUACCUUGCUAGUAUUGGCCAAUAUUCAGAUUUACUUUAGUGGGCUUGUUUGGGAUUUGGGCAGGGGUGGAGACGGGGGAACACUGUUAGGGACACUCUCACUACCUUUUUGAGUUGGAUCUUGAAUUCAAAAUCAUAUACCAUAAUAUAAUUAACCCUAGAAUUAUAACCCCGAUUAUGUUGUCGGUAAUGUCACAAUGAAAUUCUUCAAAUCAGAAAAUACAAUGCAGAAGAUAUAUUUCUUUUUCUAUUCUGUUGUACUACGUGUAACACCAGCAUUUCUAUGUGUACGCCUUGCAUCAAAUAUCCUGCUAUGAUCCGUGUAUAUUGAUUUUGAACAAUGACCACUCAAAAGAUGCAUUUGAAAUUUUGUUGUUGCAAAUUAGUCUAAACCUGAAGUAGUUGUACUAAAGUUUCAACAUAUGUCAAUAUCAGGUUUAAUUAGGAACAGUUCGUUGUUAUUGCACUCCUACUAUUUUAAUGCUAAAGAAAUAUCUUCUCUCAAUUAGUUUCGUAAAGGGCUUUGCGGUUUAAUAUGUCACUUGACACCGAAUGGAUUCAGGAACUGAGAUAAACUAAUUUUAUGCUAUGACUCGGCCAUAUUUCGUUGUUGAAAAUAAAUAUUUCAUGAAAUAUUAA